rnacentral:rRNA from 1 species
CCUACGGGAGGCUGCAGUGGGGGAUAUUGCACAAUGGGGGAAACCCUGAUGCAGCGACGCCGCGUGGGUGAAGAAGCGCCUAGGCGCGUAAAGCCCUGUCAGCAGGGAAGAAAAUGACGGUACCUGAAGCAGAAGCCCCGGCUACCUACGGGCCAGCAGCCGCGGUACUACGUAGGGGGCAAGCGUUAUCCGGAUUUACUGGGCGUAAAGGGGGCGCAGACGGCGAUGCAAGCCAGGAGUGAAAGCCCGGGGCCCAACCCCGGGAGUGCUCUUGGAACUGGGUGGCUAGAGUGCAGGAGGGGCAGGCGGAAUUCCUGGUGUAGCGGUGAAAUGCGUAGAUAUCAGGAGGAACACCGGUGGCGAAGGCGGCCUGCUGGACUGCAACUGACGUUGAGGCCCGAAAGCGUGGGGAGCGAACAGGAUUAGAUACCCGAGUAGUC